UAGGGAAUCUUCCACAAUGGACGCAAGUCUGAUGGAGCAACGCCGCGUGAGUGAAGAAGGCUUUCGGGUCGUAAAACUCUGUUAUUGAAGAAGAACGUGUGUGACAGUAACUGGUCAUGCAGUGACGGUAUUCAAUCAGAAAGUCACGGCUAACUACGUGCCAGCAGCCGCGGUAAUACGUAGGUGGCAAGCGUUGUCCGGAUUUAUUGGGCGUAAAGCGAGUGCAGGCGGUCUUUUAAGUCUGAUGUGAAAGCCUUCGGCUUAACCGAAGAAGGGCAUCGGAAACUGGGAGACUUGAGUGCAGAAGAGGAGAGUGGAACUCCAUGUGUAGCGGUGAAAUGCGUAGAUAUAUGGAAGAACACCAGUGGCGAAGGCGGCUCUCUGGUCUGUAACUGACGCUGAGGCUCGAAAAGCGUGGGUAGCAAACAG
rnacentral:rRNA from 1 species